CUUGAUCGAGCCCAGCCACAGCGGCCGGUCCGGCUCGCGGCCCUGACCGUAGGUUGCCAACAGCGCCUGUGCCUC
rnacentral:antisense_RNA from 18 species